ACGGAGGGUGCAAGCGUUAUCCGGAAUCAAUGGGUUUAAAGGGUCCGUAGGCGGGCUGAUAAGUCAGUGGUGAAAUGCAGGGGCUUAACUCCGGCACUGCCAUUGAUACUGUUAGUCUUGAAUCAUUGUGAAGUGGUUAGAAUAUGUAGUGUAGCGGUGAAAUGCUUAGAUAUUACAUAGAAUACCGAUUGCGAAGGCAGAUCACUAACAAUGUAUUGACGCUGAGGGACGAAAGCGUGGGUAGCGAACAGG
rnacentral:rRNA from 1 species